GAUGAAGAACGUAGCGAAAUGCGAUACUUGGUGUGAAUUGCAGAAUCCCGUGAACCAUCGAGUCUUUGAACGCAAGUUGCGCCCGAAGCCAUUAGGCCGAGGGCACGCCUGCCUGGGCGUCACACGUCGUUGCCCCCCCAUCUACUCCUUCGGGAUUGCGGGGGGCGGAUGAUGGCCUCCCGUGCGCCCCGUCGCGCGGUUGGCAUAAAUGCCAAGUCCUCGGCGACGCACGCCACGACAAUCGGUGGUUGCGAAACCUCGGUUGCCCGUCGUGUGCGGUCGUCGCGCAUCGAGGGCUCGAAAAAAUUGCCGGGCUCCGGCUCGGCUUUCAACGCGACCCCAGGUCAGGCGGGGUUACCCGCUGAAUUUAAGCAUAUCAAUAAGCGGAGGA
rnacentral:misc_RNA from 1 species